AAAGUUUAGAAAAAAUAUUUCGACAGCCAUCAUUAUUCAGAGACUGAAAUUUAAUACGAUACAAUAUUCAAGGCAUAUGAUUUCUAGGUUUCUCAUGGCUUGCGAGGAUGCAACAUAAUUAAUUGUGUAAGACUAUUAACUAAUGCAUCGCGAAAUGUUGUGAAAGUUACAAGGAUUAUUCUAACAAGACUGACAAAAAUAGCAUUGGAAUUUCCUAUUAAAGAAGCAGGAUACUUUACAACUGACCUGUAGGUGAAACGCCUAGAAACUCACUAUUAGACGUGCACGCAUAUAUGCAAAAAGUCCCAGUUGCAGAUAGGUGUGCACAUAUCUUAGGUGAUACCUUGAAACAUCCAUUCUGUAAUCUGACUUUGUGAAAACCAUGGAUCAACUGAUCAUAAUACUGCAAUGUACAUGUAUAUUGGUUGUCUUCCUAAUUUCCCUGGCUGUGUGUAUUCUUUGUAUCGUAAGGAGACGGAAAAAGACGCGGAAAACAAAAACUAAUAAAUCAAGGGGAAAUAGGCACGACGUCGUGUUGUUGCAGGAUAUGGAAGGAAAUAAAGCAGUUGCUCAAGUAACGUCUUCGACUUUAGAAGGUUUUCCUAAAGAGAAUGAGGCGAGCCAUUAUGUAAAAA